UACGUAGGGUGCGAGCGUUAAUCGGAAUUACUGGGCGUAAAGCGUGCGCAGGCGGUUCGUUGUGUCGGCGGUGAAAGCCCCGGGCUCAACCUGGGAAUGGCCGUUGAAACUGGCGAACUGGAGUGUGGCAGAGGGGGGUGGAAUUCCACGUGUAGCAGUGAAAUGCGUAGAGAUGUGGAGGAACACCGAUGGCGAAGGCAGCCCCCUGGGCUAACACUGACGCUCAUGCACGAAAGCGUGGGGAGCAAGCAGG
rnacentral:rRNA from 1 species